rnacentral:rRNA from 1 species
UACGAAGGGGGCUAGCGUUGCUCGGAAUCACUGGGCGUAAAGGGUGCGUAGGCGGGUCUUUAAGUCAGGGGUGAAAUCCUGGAGCUCAACUCCAGAACUGCCUUCGAUACUGAAGAUCUCGAGUCCGGGAGAGGUGAGUGGAACUCCGAGUGUAGAGGUGAAAUUCGUAGAUAUUCGCAAGAACACCAGUGGCGAAGGCGGCUCACUGGCCCGGUACUGACGCUGAGGUGCGAAAGCGUGGGGAGCAAACAGG